rnacentral:rRNA from 1 species
UACGUAGGGGGCAAGCGUUGUCCGGAAUCAUUGGGCGUAAAGAGCGUGUAGGCGGCUCGGUAAGUCCGCUGUGAAAUUCCAGGGCUCAACCCUGGAAUGCCGGUGGAAACUGUCGAGCUAGAGUCCGGAAGAGGCGAGUGGAAUUCCUGGUGUAGCGGUGAAAUGCGCAGAUAUCGGGAGGAACACCAAUGGCGAAGGCAGCUCGCUGGGACGGGACUGACGCUGAGACGCGAAAGCGUGGGGAGCAAACAGG